rnacentral:rRNA from 2 species
GCUCGUAGUUGGAUUUGUGGCGAUUCCUGAUGUCCAAUUUUGGUACGUUCGGGCGUUGCCAUCCUUGGGUGGAUCCUGUGUGGCAUUAGGUUGUCGCGCAGGGGAUGCCCAUCGUUUACUGUGAGAAAAUUAGAGUGUUCAAAGCAGGCUUAUGCCGUUGAAUAUAUUAGCAUGGAAUAAUAAGAUAGGACCUCGGUACUAUUUUGUUGGUUUGCGCACCGAGGUAAUGAUUAAUAGGGACAGUUGGGGGUAUUCGUAUUCCAUUGUCAGAGGUGAAAUUCUUGGAUUUCUGGAAGACGAACUACUGCGAAAGCAUUUACCAAGGAUGUUUUCAUUAAUCAAGAACGAAAGUUAGGGGAUCGAAGAUGAUUAGAUACCAUCGUAGUCA